rnacentral:rRNA from 1 species
CCAUAUGCUUGUCUCAAAGAUUAAGCCAUGCAGGUCUGAGUACGGCCUCCAGCGAACAGGCGAAACCGCGAAUGGCUCAUUAAAUCAGUUACGGUUCCUUGGUGAUGACUGCGCGUUACUGGAUAACCGUGGUAAUUCUAGAGCUAAUACAUGCGACGGAGCUCCGAUGCACCCGCCCCGGCGGGAGCGACGAGCGCUUUUAUUAGACCGCAACGGAUCGCGCGCGGCCGCCGGCGGGGGAGUUCGCCUCUCCCGUCGCGCCGCGUUGCGAGGUGACUCUGGAUAAACCUGGCAGAUCGGCCGGUGGCCCCUGGCGGGGCCGCACACACGCCGGCCGACGCAACCUUCAAGUGUCUGACUUAUCAACUGUCGACGGCACGUUAAACGCUUGCCGUGGUCGUAACGGGUGACGGGGAAUCAGGGUUCGAUUCCGGAGAGGAAGCCUGAGAAACGGCUACCACAUCCAAGGAAGGCAGCAGGCUCGCAAAUUACCCACUCCCGGCACGGGGAGGUAGUGACGAAAAAUAACGAUGCGGGACUCGGUCGAGACCCCGCCAUCGGAAUGAGCGGACCGUAGACAGUUCGCGCGAGGAACGACCGGAGGGCAAGUCUGGUGCCAGCCGCUGCGGUAAUUCCAGCUCCGGUAGCAU